UACGUAGGGUGCGAGCGUUAAUCGGAAUUACUGGGCGUAAAGCGUGCGCAGGCGGUGAUGUAAGACAGGUGUGAAAUCCCCGGGCUUAACCUGGGAACUGCAUUUGUGACUGCAUCGCUGGAGUGCGGCAGUGGGGGAUGGAAUUCCGCGUGUAGCAGUGAAAUGCGUAGAUAUGCGGAGGAACACCGAUGGCGAAGGCAAUCCCCUGGGCCUGCACUGACGCUCAUGCACGAAAGCGUGGGGAGCAAACAGG
rnacentral:rRNA from 1 species